AUGAACGCUGGCGGCGUGCCUAAUACAUGCAGGUCGAGCGAACAGACGAGGAGCUUGCUCCUCUGACGUUAGCGGCGGACGGGUGAGUAACACGUGGAUAACCUACCUAUAAGACUGGGAUAACUUCGGGAAACCGGAGCUAAUACCGGAUAAUAUAUUGAACCGCAUGGUUCAAUAGUGAAAGACGGUUUUGCUGUCACUUAUAGAUGGAUCCGCGCCGCAUUAGCUAGUUGGUAAGGUAACGGCUUACCAAGGCAACGAUGCGUAGCCGACCUGAGAGGGUGAUCGGCCACACUGGAACUGAGACACGGUCCAGACUCCUACGGGAGGCAGCAGUAGGGAAUCUUCCGCAACGGGCGAAAGCCUGACGGAGCAACGCCGCGUGAGUGAUGAAGGUCUUCGGAUCGUAAAACUCUGUUAUUAGGGAAGAACAAAUGUGUAAGUAACUAUGCACGUCUUGACGGUACCUAAUCAGAAAGCCACGGCUAACUACGUG
rnacentral:rRNA from 1 species